CUCGGUGCUCGGUGCUCGGUGCCCGGUGCCCGGGCCCGGGGCCGCUCGGCCGCUGGAGAUCGGUGCGGGCAGCCCCGGCACUGCUGGGGGGGCCGGCUCGGCCCGGUGGAAUGGCGGUGCGGGACCGCGCGGGGCAGAGGCGCGGCGGGGCCGGAGAUCCGUGCGGCCGCCCCGAUGCCCCCACCGGAGGCCGGGAGCGGCCGGGAUCGCCUCGUUGUGUUUCUCCCUUGGCGAGAGCCAGAGCCUGCGGGGCUCGCAGCGCUGCGCUCGGACACGGAGGGCUGGAAGCGGAGCCGUGCCGUGAUUAAGUCACUCUCACAAGGUCACGCGGCGAAUCGCUGGUGCUGCCAAGAAUAGCACCCGAGUCUCUUGGCUCCCUCAAGCCCACCCUCAACUCCAGCCUCCUUUCCUCGCUGCACAUACAAAUACCAGAUUUGGGGCAACUGUGUACCUGUUUCAUGCACACAAAUAUCUGAUACCUGUAACACCCCAGGACUGGAGCCCUCUCCCAGCCUUGAAAGCCCAGGGGCUGCUGAGCCAUUGUGCAGGCUGGUGCUGCAUGUGUGCCAGACAAUCACCUUCUGCACAAAGUGAAAUUUCAGCUGAUGAAACCUCUGCCUGUGUGUAAGGGUUAUGAAGCUUUCUGCAGCAAGAUUUGAAGCAGCCAGAUUCCAGCUUAGAUCAAAGUCCCUAGGAUUCACUUGUGACUUCUGGAUGGAGCCUGGUGGGAGCAGACAGUGCUUGUGCUGAGGCUGAAGUGUUUCCCCUCAUGGAAAAGAUGAACAAGCCAGUUCCACAUCAGCUUUCUUUUCUGAGCCUUCUAUUCCUGCCUCUGUGCACAUGCCUCUGUGCACAUAUGUCUGACUGUGAGUGCUGCCGUGUUUGGAGCUGUGUGGUGGCUGCUGUCAGAGCCCAGGAAUGCAGCCUCAGGAACAGAACCCUGCACAGGCAAACUUGGUGGAACCUGGGCAGUGUCUGGAGCAGCAGUUAGGAAUCUGGGACUGGGAGCUGACUGUACUUGCAUUCCCAGGAGGACAAAUCAGGGCCUCGAUUGCCAGGUUGUUUUUCAUAUCCUGAUGCAAAUGAAAAGUCAGCCUUUCUCAGAAGAGUGUAGAAUCUAAUGAGCAGUGUGUUUGAAAACCUCAGCCUUUCCCAGGACACAGGUGAGUGAUGCAAACAUGGCACAAGCAGGUGGAGAUGGGCAUCUUGGAAAGAAAACAUCAAAGGAAUCACACAGAGGUCGGGGUGGGCAAUUCACAGGGCCAGGGAGCUGGAGGUGUGUGCAAAGCCACCCUGCUCUUCACUCAGUGCCACUGAGCUUCAGUUCACAAAGAAAGUGGCUGGGAAAAUUACCCAGAAAUAGAUGACCUUUCAAAAGGCCUCUAAUAUACAAUUACCUGAUGUUCACUGAAGUGGUUCACGUGCUUCCCACUCUAAAUGAUUUUCUAGGUUCACCCAUGUGUGAAAAGGGGGCUGAUUUUAUGGAGGAGGGCAAGGGAGGAAAGAAACUUCAGAAAGGAGAAAAAUACGCCAGGGAAUUUUACUGGUUGUUUGCUUCAAGGGAAGAAAAGGGCAAAUAGAUGCAGCCACCUCAAAGUCACCUUUUGACUUUGAACUUUAAAAGAAAGGAGCAUGGGAGAACUCUGAGGUAUUGACAGCACUUGACAGAAGCUGUUCCAUGGAGAUGGGUAGGAAAUUUAGGAUCCAGUGGAGUUUGCUUUCUUAGCCAGAUGACAAGUUCUUUUUUUCCCCGCAGUACAACAGAAUUAAUACAACCCCUGUUUUCCUUACUGCCUUUUCUUUCCUUCUGCCCUGGGUCAUCUGGCACAGGAGAUCCCUUGCCUGUGUGGCCACCAGUGCUCACACCAGGGCUGGCCAUGCCCCCUCUGCAGAGUUUCAGCUCUGAUCCUGGACCAAAGCAAGUGAGUUAUCUGGGGCUGCACUCUGUAGUGGGCUUUAGGCAAAAUACUUUUCUAAGGAAAUUAUUUCUAUGGUUGGAACAAAGUGCCUCUCCCCAGCACCUUUCCAGUGGCAGCUGUGCCAGGUGCACACAGCAGUCUGGCUUCAGUAGUUCAGUGUUCUCUUCACUGCCCUGAUCCCCAGCAGCCCAGGGGGAAGGGGGCAGAGACCACCCCCAUGUGGGCAAGGAGCAGCAUUCAAAAACCCAAAGACUUCUUGAAACCAGGGAAUGGCAUUCCCACACAAGAUGAGAGAGCACACUGGGCAAUAGAAACUAUGUUUGUAUGGAAGACAAUUAUUUUAAAUAACCUUGGAAUGUAAAGAUUUUCAUGAACAAAAGUCCCCCAUCUGCAUUAUCUGACAAAACAAAGACAGGUGUCCACAGACAUCAACGUGGCACUUGUAGCACUGAGGCACUUUUCAUUUGGUCAAGUAUCUUAAGUAUGUUUGUGGGGAAAAACCCAAAGUUGAACUUUGGAUCCAAAGCAUUAGACUUGCAAUUCCACAGAAUUUUGUGACUUUGGAAAUGUUCUAUUGUUUUUCAGUAUGAGCUCAUGAAGCUGGAAUGAAAUUGUCCUUUUGGGACAAAACAAAAUAGAUGAAAAAUAAAUGCUCAUGUCAGGUCUGGAAACCAAGGGGGUCCUGAGCCAUAGUCUUUAAUAUGUUUCUUUUCCAUCAAGUUCAGGAGCAACUCUGAGCAGGAUUUGCUGCAGUUGAGGGAGACAGAAGAAAAGUCAUAUUAAAAAUAAAAGAAGAACCCAGAAUAAGAUUUUUCAAAAAGCCAUUUAUAUCUUCUAUAAGAUAUCCAGAUGCAAAAGUGAAUGGAGAGUCAGGAGUGCACUCAGGCUCCUCUGGCUGUGGCUCUGCUGGAAGGCAGGUCAGCUUGAGCUCACAGCAGCAUAAUUGUAGGAUGAUGUGGAGCUCCUCCUGCUUCUGCCUCCUCCUUUUGGAGGCCACACAACAUGCACAUGUUGUGUUCCUGAAUUCGUGCCUCUUCUGGCAAUUUAUUUGCCUGAUCCUUAAAUUUCUGUGUUCAUCUCCAGGGCCCAGAGCUGUGCCAGGCUGCCAGCAGCUUGCUGGGACCACGGGCAGGUCUCUCAGCUCCCCACAGUGACUGUGCCUGCGUCUCUGCUGCUGGGGAGCUGCCAGCAGGGUGUCAGGAGUGCAGCCACACACAGCUGCACUGCCCAUGCUCCAAGGGCAGUGUGCUGACAGCUAACCAUGGCAGAGAGACUGAAAGAUGUGAGAGUUUCUCUCACAUCUGCUCACAUUCUGCUUUUAACUCUCCGUGGCCCUGUUUGGGAAUGGGCUGUAGCCACUGCAUGCCUUUAGCUUGAACUUGCACUUCAUCAGUCCGGGAGGAAGAAUGGAAGAAAUGUUCCGAGAGAAAAUUCCAUUUAUGUCUUCUGCCACCUGCUAAUGGCAUAUGUGGGCUGCUGCAUGCCAGUAGCUGAUGGCAAAGAUAACAUCAGUGUGGAGAAAAUUGUGCAGUGCUGAGAAUGAGACUCAUGUUCCAGAUGACCCAGUAGUUGAGCGCCUGCUGGGGCCAGGUGUGGGGCCGAGCUCUGCUCACCAGCACUCACACAGACACACAGUGUGAUGGCCUUGCUGCAAUCCCAGAAAUCAAACUUUUCAGGGCAGGCAAAAAGACAAAAGCUGAAAAGCUUCUGUUCACAUCCAGCCCCAAAUCAGGCUUUGCUGCAUAUCCCUCCAGCCUAAUUGGUGUGAGGGAGGCUGACAGGAGGGAACGGCUGUCAAAGUGCCCGGCAAAGCUGCUGGGCUGAAAACUGACUUAAUGGCAGAGUAGACACAGUGGGCAGCUCUUCAGAAGUAAACAUCCAUUGACAGUAGGAUCAUAGAAAUAUUUGAGGCACUCAACAGCAAAAUCCUUGUUGCUUUUCACCCUCGUGCCGCCUGGGGUUUUUGCUCAGUGAGGGAAUUGAUGGUGUUUUGUGUGAACUGAGAGGUAAUCGCGAGCAACUACUUAAAUAACCUAAUUAUGUUUAGAGAAGGCUGGUCCCUGAGAGCAGCUAGGAUCUGUGAAUAAACAUAUUGACACAGGUGACCACCUGAUCUAUGCAUAUGGAUCUAAAAAAAGCCACUUUGCUAAGUUUAAAUACCUCAAAGUAAAGCUGAGCAGACACCAGACGCCAGCAGCCGUGCCUGCCCAAAGCAGCAGGGCAUGGGGCUCAGCACGUCCUGCCAGCCCCAGGUGUCCUCCUGAGGGGACCAGGGCCUUUAAAUACCAGCCCUUAAAUACCCUGUGCACAGAGAAGGGUAAAGGGACUGGGCCCCCUAAAUGGGGGAUGGACAAGCCCAGAGGCUUACCUUGCCUAAUCCUUGGGCAAACAUGCUCAGUGUCUGCUGAGUCCAGCAGCUGAUCCCACCCGUGCCAGCACUGCCCUGCACAGCUGGCCCGGGCCUCCCAGGGGACAGAGGGCACCUGCUCCCAGCCUGGAGUUCCCUGGGAAUGGAGAGAGCCCCCUCCCCACCUGGGGUUCCCAGGGACAGUGGGCUUCCAGCUUGGCUGUGGCCCUUAGUAGUCAGAAUUCUUGGAGGAGAAAGUCUGAGAGAGAGAAAAGACAAAUGUGAAGCUGUUGAAUGUGUUCAGCCCUUCAGCAGAGGGGUUGAAGAGUUCACAGUGACAGCUGAGAUAAGGCCAGCCUGCUGGUGGGCCCCAAGCUGCCCCUGCCCCACCAGCCUCCUCCUCCUCCUGCAGUGAGCACCCAGCUGCCUCACCCCACUGUUAACCAUGUCUAGAUUCAGUACAACCUAACAGCACAGAGUUAUAAUACCCUAUGACAUGGAAAUGGGUCAGAAACAAACUCUGUGUCUUUCUGUAUUAACACAGGUGCCACUCCUGGCUUGGAGGGUUCACAGCUCUGAGAUUUCGCUGCUUAUGACUUGAAGCAACCAGCAUCACCUCAGGCUAUAGGCAGAAAAAUUUCAUUGAGCCACAUUGCCUCUCUGCUAGACAAACUGCAGAAAGAUAACUUGCUCCCAGAAUGUCAGGGUUGUCUGGCCACCUUCCAAACAAUAGCUGCAUUUCAUGCUUGAAUGCCUAUCAGUGAAUUUCCAGUACAAAAUGUGAACAGAGACAACUAGAAAUCAAGGUCUGGUGUUUCCUUUGCACCUCCCCAGAGGGGAGGGCUGUUGGCAUCAUAUAUUCAAUCCCUCAGCACCAGCAGACACAGGUCAGUGACAAGACAGGUGAAAGAACAAGGCCUGAGGUCAGCAGAUGCCCGGUACAGCCACCGAAGCUGCCUGCUUCCAGGAGCUGAGGCUGCUGCUCUUGGGGAAACAAAGCUCCCACCUGCUAGUCAACAUCUGCAGUUACCACACAGAAGAAUUCAAAAAGCCAACCAACAAUCCCCUAGCCAAGUGUUCAGGGUGGAAAAAUAUCAAAGAUCAAGAUGAGAUGGACAUGGCAUGUCUCCUGGCUGGAAUUCCUGGGAAUGUUUGUUGGUGGCAUGCCUGGUCACGCAGUGCUGGUUGGACACAGGGUGCCAGCCAGGAGCGUGCUGUUCACCCAGCAGCCUGAUCCACAUCCUUCCUGUGGCUGAAGGAGAUGCAGGUGGAGCCUGGGUGGGGCAACUGCCAGGUGUUAGGAAAGAUCACUUAUGCCCACAGGUCACUUCCCCAGCAAGGUGUACCUUGUUCCAGGGGUGCUAGAGCCUCCCCAGUGGAGUGGGACCUCAAGGGGGUUGAGAAAGCCCUUAGAGCAAAUAAGGUGAAUGGCACCAAAGCUUCUAGGGAAAUCCAUUUUGUGAAUGUUGCCCACCCCUAGUUCAGAGCCACUCUUAGCAGUGGGGCAGUGCAGGCAGGCAGAGCAGUGUUCUGUCAGGAUGGUGCAGGUCCCUUUGCUGUGCUACAGCUGAAGCCCAUAACAUGGAGAAAGAGAGCCUCAGUUGCAGGGCUGAGCAGGCAGGGUCAGAUCCUGCCACAGUUUUGACUCACAACUAGACAGACUGUACUUUUCAAGUUGCAGAACUUAAGAUUUUUGCAUUUCAGUUCUGCAAAUGCUACUCAGUGGUUUUGCCACUUUUCACCUAUUAAACUUCUUGGGUUUAUCCAUGCUCCAUCCAGAGUUCCACCCAUUAAACUCUAAUUUUUCUGCCUUUCCUCACUUGUAAGUGGAGGAGGUCACCUUCAGAGAGGCUGGUUCAGAGAACAGAGGUAGUAGCCAUGGAGUGCCCUAUCCAGUGAAGUCUCAAAUGAGAGAUAGGAGGGCUCUGAAAAGCAUGGUAAAGGAUUUGAAAAUUAAGAUAAUACCUGCUGCUAGUGUGAGAUUCAGAAGUGCUGCUGCUGAACAGCAUUUCCAUGCCAGGAACCUGCAGCAGCUGCUAUGGAUGCAGAUCCAUCCUUCAGCUGAUCCUACAGCAUGGGUUCUGGACUCCUCCAGUUCUGGGACUCCUUCACCUCUGCAUCACCAGGAUUUCUUCAGCAUGGUCAUUAACAGCUCACACAUACCUGCCACACCUUGCAGCACACGCCUCUGCAUUCCUCACCCUGUUCCAGACAUGCUUUGUUCAUGGGCUCAGCUCUCAGAGCUCCCACUCACCCUGUGAUUCACAUGGGAUCAGGUUAUAUGAAGUGCUGGCAAAUUAUGGUCAUGAUGGGUUUGGCCCUAGCCCUGUCCUUGAAAGAACAGAUCCUGUCACCUAACCAGUACUUUUGGGAGGUUAUUUUACAAUUUGUAUAAAGAAAAAAUGUACUGGAAAUACCUAAUCUGUAGUGUCAAUCUCUGGACCUCAGUACACACAGAAAUCCAGCAAUGUCCAUUGUUUGACAUGCUUUUGUCUGUUCUAUAACCCGUGAUCAGAGUUCACAAGCUUUCUCCCAGCCUGUGCUCAGCUUUUAAAGCUUUUCCUGCCGUCUGUCACAUUUGCCAAGUCUCCAGUCCCUGAGUGCUGCCAGUGUUUGCAGCUCUCGAGCUGUUGGGGCAGACAGCUCUGUGUGCAGGGAUGCAGUGCCUGGGAGCUUGAUGGAACAAGCUCAGGGCCCCAGCACCUGACCCUGGAGGGUGCCUGGACUCUGCAGCUAGCACAGGCAAGAUGGAAAAUGGUACAAUCUCCCCCUUUCUCAUCAUUGUUCCUACACAGCACAGCAAAUCAAAACCUCAGACCAGCACAACUCCUAUUGUUACUUAUUCUGCAGUCUAGAGGGAAAAAAAGGAGUCCCAGCUCCUCAUUUCCACACGAGUGGGAACCAGUAGUGGUUGGCAGACCAGUGGCUGGUUUCUAGACUUGGCCAAGGGAAAGAUCUGAGUCCUUGCUUAAUAUUAAAAACCUUGGCUACGGCUGAUUUAAUUUCCCAUUUUUUUAUUCUACUCUUAAAUUUUAUGUCUUUAUUUUCAGUUUAAUCCUUUCUUUUUAAGGUUUACAUAGCAUCAUCUGCUUCUCAAAUACCUUUGUCCUUUAGCUAGUUUUGCGAGCUGCACUUUAAAAGUGGGUGCUCUGUGAUCAUCACAAAAAUCCCUCCUUCUGGUAUUUUUGCUAGCGUCAGUCCCCAGAACAUGGGCCUUAAUGAAGGGAACAUAUUCCCUACUGAUGUGCCAGACAAAAGUUCAUGGCUUUGUCUUGCUGAAAAUGAAGUCUUGAUUAUUCAUGCAGUUCCCAAUUAGUCAUUCCACACCCUUGAAUUAUUUCUGACAGAUGUGAAAUGCCUUGUGCUGAAUUCCUACUCCAAGGAACCUUCUGCAUGACUGGUUUAUCAGUGUAUGCAAGCAGACUCAUGAUUUACAGUGCUUCAUCAUCAUGGCAUGUGUAACACUGAACACGAUGACUAGGGAAACCAGACCCACCUAUUUUUGGUCAUAGGCUCAGACCCUCCAAAAUCUGCCAGCAGCUGCACAAGAGGUGCUCACACAGGGCUGGUGUGUGCUCAGGGAAAGCCAGUUUACGCUGAGGAUCUCAAGAAGGGAUUGUCUGAGGGCACAUAAAUUCACUCUCAGGGGUGAUAUGGACACAAGUGCUAACCUGAAGGCCCAUUUCUGUCACUUUUCACUUUCUUGCUUUGUCUUUGCUGCCAGGAGUGCUUUUCCUGCUGGCUGUGUACUCGGCUGAGGUGCAGGUCUGGCGUGGUUCCUGUCCCUGAGCAAGCCCUGGAGAGCAGAGGCUGCCCAGCAGGGAGGGAAUGCCCAGCUUGGUGCCCUUACUUGCUGCUGGCAGUGCUCUCUGCUGUGUUUCCCUGCAAGGGAGUUCGUGCACAUCUCUCCACACCUUGUCAGAGGCACACAGAAACUCUCCUCCACAGCCUGCAGAACACAGGUGGAGGCUGUUUCCCAAAGGCUCUGAGACUUCUAAAAUCAGGGGGCCCCAGGCUGGCCAGAGUACAUUUAUUUUCUCCUACAAAGAAAAGGUCUUUCAGGGGACCUUCUCUGGACAAGAGCCUCCUCCAAAGCAGGAGGGCAGCUGCAGAGAGGGUGCUGUGGGGGUACAGGCAGCUCAGAGCUGCUCUCAGCUGCACCCACUGUGCACCAGGGACAGGAGCACAGCUCACCUGCUGCCUCUGGGACAGCCCAACAGCACAGCAGGGCUUGUUCUGCUCAGAAUCACUGCCCUGCACCUGCCCUGCAUGUACCUCUCUGGAAACAGAGAGUUUCCUUCCCAAAGGGAGCUCUGAGCUCCCCUUGCAAAGCCCCAGCAGCCGUCCCUGAUGGCACACCUGCACUGAAGGGUCUGACUUGCUCUCACUGCUGCAUUUCAGCAGCAUUCCUGAGCAGGUGGCCAGGCCUGGCUCCAUAUGAGCUUAAUGACAUUACCUCUGCAAUGGGAGAUCUUAGGCUGGGAUUCCACAUUUUUCUCCUGCAGAAGUCUCUGUCACUGCAAAACAAAAUAAUAGUACCCAAAGCCACGUUAAGUCAUUGUAGUGAUUCCAAAAUCCAUGAUUCCUCUGGCUAAUUAAAAAAGCUUCAAACUCGCUCCAAGUCUUACAACUAUAAAUUCUGUGUUUGCACUGGUGAAACUCCCCCUUCUUUUUAUCCACAGAUGGUCAUGAUGAUAUGUUUUUGUUCAACGAUUAAUCAUUUUUGUGUCAUGUUUGACUUGGUUUGGGGAUUUAAAUUACAUACCUCACUGAAGGGAAACCCUAAUUGAGAUACAAAUCUGAGCACCUGUGAAAGACUUCAAGUUCUGUGUACAUGCCUAAGUAUAAAUAUUUAAAUGUAUGUUUUACUACUUUAAAGGCAUCUACACAGGAUGUCAGUGGAGGUUGAUCUGUCAUCAGUCUGUCUUGUCAGCAGACCCACUGGAUUCUGACAGCUGAACAGAGGCCAUUAAUUAAAACUGCCAGGUUUUGUCAGACCCUUGACAUGCUCCCUAGAUAAUUCAGUCCCAUGCAUUUCAAGCAUUUGCAGCAGGAACAAGACUAAAUCUUUCAAUUUCCCUGCUCCAUGCUAUGCCUCUCUUUCUAAGAAAGAGGAUUUAUUCCUGCAGCAAUAACCCUUUGCAUUUUGAAGCAAGGGUGUUGGUGCAACUUGGUUCUGCAUUGAGAAGUGCCAUGGUUUGUGAUGACUCCUCAGAGGGAAGCUGUGCAAAGGUUCUGGCAGUGACUCCCCACCCUCAGGAAGGUUUCAGGGAUAAUGCCACAAGUCUUGCAGGAAUAAGGAGCUUUUUCUUACUGUUCUAAGAAGGUUCUUUGCUAGAAUAAGCAAACAAGAAUUGGAGCUGACUUCAGGUCCCUCUGCUCCCACAGCUAUCCUCACUGGAGCUGGCAACUGCUCCUGGGGAGAUAGGGCUCUCAGCCAGUCAUCCUUAAAGGAGAAGUGUUAGUUUUGCAUGUAACUAUGACCUAUUUUUAAAUUUUUGCUAUAUAUACAAAUUUUAUAACACAUCCAUGGACCCUUUGGAGUGCCUGUGAUGGAGAGCCAGUGGUCAACCCUUAGACUCAUGUUUAGAAAACACCACCUUUGUUUGUUUUACAUGUUUAUAAUUGUCUCUGGCUAUAUUAUCAUUUGUGAAUUUCCACAGUAGCUUUCAAAGUAAUGUUGGUUUGUCUGGAUAGUAACAUUGCAAAAAAGCACUUAAAAUGUCAGAUGCAAGAACAGUUUGCUUCUUCUUGCUACUACAACCUACCACAGAUGUAAAUCAUGAGCCAUAUUGCUACAGCUUCUGAAAUCAAAGUAAAGCCAAAUAAUGUACAGCCCAGCACAGACAUAUUCCCUAAUGGCACAGAAGUGUGGUGCUCCAGCCCCCCAUUUCAUAGGAGAAAAGGAGGAUAUAUGAUAAGAGGUCAGUGCCAACGUCUCACCUCCUCAGUGGUGACUGCAGUUUUGUAUGGGACAUUCUGCUCCUUCCGUGCAUUGCUCAGAGGUGGAUCCUGUGCAGAAACCCCUUCUCUGCCCCCGUGGAACAGAGGGUUAUGUCUCCUUCACGUGGAACCACGCUCCUCUGGAAUGUCACAGAUUGCCUCUGGGGCCAACCUGAGCUGCAACAGAGCACGGAGAAGACAGGUUUCAGAAGCUGAGAUGUGCCUGUGUACCCCUCAUAGAAGCAGCACUCCAGAAACAGUUCAUGGUACAGAAGAGAUGGCAUAUUUCUUUUAACAAUGGGGUGAAAAAUGGUGUUUAAGGCCUGGUUCUGCAAAGUGCACUGGAAGAAAACAGCAACCUGCUUCACAGAACUUUCCUUCCUCUGCUUGUUGUGACCGGCGUGCCCUCCCGAAGACCCGGCUGGUGUGACUCCCUGUGCCCGGGCAGGCUCCCCCUGAGUGCCACUGACUGAGAGAGGCACAGUCACCCCCAGGCCACCAAGCAGGCCCUGGCUGGCUGCAGGAGCUGCUGGCCACGGUGCCCCUCAGCUGGCUGGAGAAGAACAGGAACAUGUUCACCGCCCCAGGCUGCACCUCUGGCAGGGAUGUUUUCCCAGAGCCCACAUCCUUUCCUUCAGCAAACUUCCACACAGCUCCCACCUCGUGCCCAGCUGGUUUUGCACUGGCUCGGCCACGCCAGCAUUCCAUCAGUGCUGACAGUGGGGCGGCUGGGGACGGGCACCACAGUCACAGCAGGAGUCACAGCAAGAGUCAGAGUCACAGCAAACAGCCCCACGGCAGGAGGGGAGCUCUGUCACACUGUGUGCCCUCCCCGGGCAGCACCGUGCCACCUCCUGUCACCCACAGGGCAGUGUCCCCUCACUGCUGAGCCUGCCCCCAGUCACAGGGCAGUGUCACCUCACUGCUGACCCUCACCCACAGGGCAGUGUCACCUCACUGCUGAGCCUCACCCACAGGGCAGUGUCACCUCACUGCUGAGCCUGCCCUCACCCACAGGGCAGUGUCACCUCACUGCUGAGCCUGCCCUCACCCACAGGGCAGUGUCACCUCACUGCUGAGCCUGCCCUCACCCACAGGGCAGUGUCACCUCACUGCUGACCCUCACUCACCCACAGGGCAGUGUCACCUCACUGCUGAGCCUGCCCUCACCCACAGGGCAGUGUCACCUCACUGCUGACCCUCACCCACCCACAGGGCAGUGUCACCUCACUGCUGAGCCUGCCCUCACCCACAGGGCAGUGUCACCUCACUGCUGACCCUCACUCACCCACAGGGCAGUGUCACCUCACUGCUGACCCUCACUCACCCACAGGGCAGUGUCACCUCACUGCUGACCCUCACCCACCCACAGGGCAGUGUCACCUCACUGCUGAGCCUCACUCACCCACAGGGCAGUGUCACCUCACUUCUGAGCCUGCCCUCACCCACAGGGCAGUGUCACCUCACUGCUGAGCCUGCCCUCACCCACAGGGCAGUGUCACCUCACUGCUGAGCCUGCCCUCACCCACAGGGCAGUGUCACCUCACUGCUGACCCUCACCCACAGGGCAGUGUCACCUCACUGCUGCCCCUGACAUGGGCACCAUGUGGGAUGGAAAAAUCAGCUCCGAGGUAAUUAAGUGGAGAAAUGUCCUGAAACUUAAAAACCCAGGGCAUCUUUGAUCUAGACAGGGCUCAAUUCAUAGUAAGAUCUGUAAUCCUCUGAGCGUCUCACUGAGGGGGAAAGGUGAGGAACUGAGUGGCUUUUGUAUGGCAGCCUACCACAGCCAAAAGACCAAGAAAAUCACAAAAACCCCUCUUCCCUCUUUCUUCAGUUGAUCUUUUCUUUGUAUGACUGCAUCAUUUAAAAAUUGUUUAUGACUUAAUACUGAGUACAUGCCAAAACCUUCUAUACUGGAGAGACCAAAGGUGAAAUCCUGGGGGUUUACAGGAUAAACUCCACAUAAACUUUGUGCCAGAGAAUGCGUUUGUGCUCACCUUUUGGUUGGGCUCUGGAUAAAAGCCUGUUAUGAGUUCUCCAACAGGAGGCCAUCUAACUGAGAUGGUCUGAGAUCCACAGCCACUGUUCUGGGAAUAGCUGUAGCUAACAGAAGGAGGCUUUUCACUGCAUCAGAGACAAAAGGAACAGCAGCAGGGCAGUGAUGUCAAGAAAGGGCAGAUGCCCCAGGUGCAGCCUCCCUGGAGCUGGGUGCUGGAGAAGCCUUGAUGUUGUGUGAGCAGUGCAGCCCUUGUGCCACAGGCAGUGCCACGGUGACUCUGAUCCUGAGCCCACUGCCUGCCUGUGCUCCCGCUGGUCAGCUGCCCUGGCAGGCAGGACAGGUGUGUGUGUGUCUGGGUGACCAGUGGGCACUGCUCAGGCCAGUGCCACUCAUGGGGGCACCGCCACCACACUUCCCUGAGACAAAGCCAAAGCCCAGUUCUGCUGUCCCUGUGUCUGGUUUGUAUGUGCUGCAUUUUGUGCAGAUCCUUCCCCACCCUGACCUGGCAGCUGCCACACCACACCUGCUGCAGAGCAACACCUGAACAUCCACGAGCUCCCUUCAGGUGCUGUCAGGUUCAUGCAAACAACAGCAAGUGGGGCUGUGGCUGGAAAAACAGCCAACGAUCCCCCUCUCCUUCUUUUGGAGGGAGUCUCUGUGUCCUGACUAGUCCCCACAGAGACCACAGCUCCUCUCCUUGGAGACAAUUCCAUGGUGAGAGCUUUUAAUGACUUUCAGAUGUCUUAACAGAAGAGAAAAUUCCUAGUCUUAACUUGCAGAAUUUAUGAGCUAAUUUUUAUCCAUAUGGAAUUAUUUAUAGUGCAACUGAGGAACUGAGGAAAAAAAUCCUCCAAAUGACGAUGCUGAGUAUAUCACCUCUUUGCAAUGCAUUCCUAAAGAGUUCCCACACCAUUUCACACCUACAGGACAAUUCCACUCAUCAAAAUUCUCAUGGAGAAUCUGUUAGGGCUUGCCAUGAAACAGGUAAUUACUUUGGGAAUCCUAGUAGUGUAAUUUAAUUACUGUGGUAUUUUUCAUUUAAGCCAGUAGUUUGCAUCACUUCCAUCAGUUUACUCUGACAAAUGUCAGAACAUUCACUUCCCCCAAUGUUCUGUUUUCCCUUUUUUCUCAGGCUCCAAAACCAGACCUCUGAAAAUGGUUUGAAUAAGCAAACCCGAUACACACUGAGAUCACUUCUUCAGCAUUAAUGAAGGACAAGUUGUGCCUUUUAAUCAGGUUUAUAAAGGAAGUGCUCAAUUAUAAAAUAAUAACAAUACAAAAUGCAGGUCCUCAUAAACAAUUAUUAUGUGUCUACCCCAAACACUUUUAGUUUUGCUUAGCAAGCUCUCCAUUUCUGAUGAUUCUAUUUUAGUGGAUUUCAGCAGAACUACUUAUAUAAGAUUUAAAACAAAAUUAACAGCAGAAAAGCAGAGAUUUACAUGAAGAGAAUUUGGGUUUAUAUUCACCACAUCAUUUUAGUGUCUGACAGCAGGAGUAUUUCAGUAGAUGCAGUCACAGACGUCGAUAGUAGCUGUACAGUUGGAUGAGAAAAGCAAGAAUUAGCCACAGAAGUAGUAUUUUUUUGGUAUGUAUUUUGCAUACAGAUUUCAUGUGGAGACAGGGAAUCCAUCAAUCCACUAUCUGCUACAAACCCCACAUUUGUGCUUUUGCAGCAAAGUUAGAGCUAAUCAGACUAUAAGUUUUCUGAAGCCUGUUUAUGCAAAAAAGGCCAGGAACCAGUUUUGGCUGACUGCAGUCUCGUGUCCUACAUGAUGUGGUAGCAAUAGAGCUGUCAAAAUUUGCUCAGAACUUAAAUAUGUACAUGUUUCCCCACACCUUUAUUUAUGCAGCUCUGAUCUCUGCUUUUGAAUUCCUGCUUCGCAGUAAAAGGGGCAGAAAGGGCAUUGCACUUCUGGAAGUGAAAUGUGAGGGGUGCAGGUACACAUUCCCCUUGGAACCUGAGCAUCCCACACACCUGGACCAAGCAGAUGGCACCACUCCAAACAACCAGGACUCCCUGGGAAGUCUAUUUAAAUAGGCCAUCUAAACAUUAUUAUCAUGGACUUGCAAUCCCUUUAAUGUCUACUCCGUAACUGCUCUCUCACCUUAAAAACAGACCAUCUUUCCUCUCCACACUUCCUCUUAGUCUUCUACCCCAAGUAUUACAUAAGUCCUUUAGGAACUCAGUCCAGAAAACGGAUUUAUAACUACAGAUCAAAUUGUGCCACAUAGUACUUAUUUAAAGUAUCUGACAAACUCUCUGAAGUUUGUCUAUAUUCCCUUUUUUGCUUAGACAACAUAAUAAAAACAAAUGGCCUGCUGUUAUUCAUGCUUUUAAUACUGAGAUGUAGUUAUGAAGAGGGUGGAAAGUCUGCGAAUGGUUUAUACACAAAGCAAAGGGAUUACUUACUGUUCAAAGCAGAAGUUUUCAAGAAAAUCAGCAACCUAGAUUCUAGGAAAUACAGCAAUGAAUUAUUGAAAAGUCCAUUAAAAUAAAACCAUGCCAAACAGAAAUAUUUCACACACACUACGUCUAUCAAAGAGAUGUGGAUUUUCUCCAAUAUUGAUAUCACACUUUACUUAAUAUGAGUUUGAAAUAUAUGAGAGAACAUGGUGCUGCACGCCACAUGAGUGCUCUGAAACCAUUCACAUUUCUCUCUUUACUAGGUUAAAUGAAACCUGAUCUGGAUUCCACUUGAUCAUAAGACUGGAAUGCUGAAAAUGCUGUAAUCUAUUUAUACAUCAAAUUGAAGAAACAUUGCAUGUCUUUAAAUUUCACUGCAUUCCAGUGUAUUAGCUAAAUAGCAACAGUUUACAAACUGUUUCACGUUCAGACUGAGAAAGAAAAGACAGACCAACCUGACUUAUUUAUCCUAAAGCCAGGAUUGAUUUCCUGGCUUUAAAGCUAUGGCCCAAACCCAGGUCUGCUCUGCGCCUUCCCUAAAAGCCUUGUUCUUGCAGCAGUAAUUCAUCAUUAGUGCCAAAACAUGGUAGUUGCCUUACGAUGACUUCCAAAUCCAGAGUUCUUUUUUAGCAUCAAGAACAAUCCCAAACUAGAUUUGCAGCUCAGAUUUUGUCCGUGCUUCUCUUCCCUCUGCCCCUAACCACAAAUGGUUGAAAAUACAGCAGACAGCAAGGCUGAGAACAACUCUGGUAAAUAAGAACAACCAAAUCCCACAGAUGAAAACCAUACAGGGGCUCAUGCAGCCCAGGAGGUAUUGGCAGUAACCAUCCACCAAGAGACCACCUCAGACCCCCCAGCGGAAUGGCAGUCUCCACAGAAUGCUGUCAUUUCCCUGUUUUUUACAGUAUAAUUUACAGAACAGUGGUGUUUGACACAUCAUUCUGGCUAGAGGAGCUGCUCCUAUUCAAACACCACAACUGUGUGCAGCACAAGAUCUACAGAAAAACAAAGGUGCCCAUCACGAAGAAAAGCCAAAUAUGCAAGAGGCCUGUCUGUUGAUCUGUACAAAUGUACAUCCUAGAUUUUAACAUCCCUCAGUUACGAAAGACACACCUGCAACUGCCAUUUGAUGGGUUUUGCCAUUGACCUGAAAGGGGUCAGGAUCAGGCUAACAACAGCUGAUGGUAUUUCAUAACAUUUAUUCAUUUCUACCUGCCCUUGCAAUGUGUUUCAAUGUGUGAAACAGUGUCCAUUUUUCUCACUUGUCAUUCCUAUGAUUCUUUUCAUUAGUUGUUGGAUUUAGUGCCUAUUAUUUCCCAUGUAGAAGACUAUGAACACUACAAAGACAAAAAGAGCAAUUUUUUUAGAGUCAGGGGAGAGGAAAAUUCUGUGCUCCUUGUCACAUGAAACUUUAAGAGCCUGAAGCUAAAUACUGCAGUACUAUUCAUGGUUCUCUGGAUAGUUAGUGGCCUUUAUAAAUGCAAAAAUCCCACUUAGACAUUCAAAUAACUAAUUUGCUAUUUUCUGUGCCCUUCUUCCCUCCAGCAGUCUGUAACCUUGUAUUUGUCUUCCAGGUCUUGUGUCUUACAGUUUGAAAUUCAAAAGAACUUGACAUUCAAAUUACAAUUGCAUCUCAGUCAGGUUUGAGAUGAUUUGGGGUAAUUUAGAGGAGUCUUAAAAACAAGAAUAAUUUGAGUCAAUGUCUUACGGUCUAGAACCACGAGUUUCAUAAAAAGGAAAAUGUAGAGUUUACAGUAAGGAAUUUCUGAUACUACUGUUUAUUUUAAAAUUUAUAAUGUUAAUGCAUGUAUAAUAAUCUAUAAUAUAUAUAUAUAAAUAUACAUCUUUAUCCAGCCAUGCAUUCAUUUCUGGGUGUGAGCACGUGUGUGGCUCUGUGCACUCCAUAAGCAUUCAGGGGUUUAGUGUGUGCUAGUGACACACAGAUUUCAGCCACCAUCAGUGGGAAGCACCCACUUUUGACCAUUUAAAUUUCUAGAAACAAACAGAACAUUGCAGUGCCAUUUUCACUGGAUACCUACAACUAUCACACUCCAGAAGAGCUUUGUUUUUUGCCUUCUAUCACUUGUGGGAGCAUGUCUGCCCUCAGUCCAGAGACUGUGUGAGAGACACUUCUUUCUCAUGACUGGUGCAUGAUCUUUAAAUGGCAAAAUAUGUAAAAUAUGUAAAAUAUGUAAAAUCACCCACAGUGAGAACAGGAGAACCCCAAGGAAAGCCACUGAAACCUGUAUGGGGACCCUCCUAGUGAAGAUGUAAUGGUGAAGGUGACGGAGAGAGCGGGGGACAAUUACCCACACCUCUGUCGGGUGACACAGCAGCGCUGAGAAGGAGCCUGCUGCCCUUCCCGGCCUGCUCCACCUGUCCUGUCCAGGUGUAAACAGCCAGCACACGGACACCAGGAGGGUGCCGCAGCGCCGGCGCUCGCACUCGCAAACAGAAGGAACGUGGGAAUGCCUUUUAACUAACUGUGGCCAAUGUUUUUCUUGAAGGAAAAAAGGGAAUAUGUACAUGCUUGACACUUAAUAAAAAUACCAGCGUACUUGUGCCCAGCA